GGGGUUGUGGCUCAGUGGUAGAGCAUGCUUGCCUAGAAUGUGAGAGGCCCUGGGUUCAAUCCUCAGCACCACA
rnacentral:tRNA from 1 species